UCAUGAGGUUAUAGCUAACGCUACAUUAACAUAAGGGGUCCUGUUGCUCAUCAUGAGGUUAUAGCUAACGCUACAUUAACAUCAGGGGUCCUGUAGCUCAUCAUGAGAUUAUAGCUAACGCUACAUUAACAUUAGGGGUCCUGUAGCUCAUCAUGAGAUUAUAGCUAACGCUACAUUAACAUCAGGGGUCCUGUAGCUCAUCAUGAGGUUAUAGCUAACGCUACAUUAACAUCAGGGGUCCUGUAGCUCAUCAUGAGGUUAUAGCUAACGCUACAUUAACAUCAGGGGUCCUGUAGCUCAUCAUGAGGUUAUAGCUAGAUGCUGUAUGGAAAACCAUCCUCAAGCUAACCACAGCAUUCUAUUACAGCAUGUUGCUGACGGCUCUCUCUGCACGUCACACACACACUCCAAUACAUACCACAGAGAUAGUGAGAAACUCUACACCCCACCCAAGCACUGAUGUCACCCUGGAGAUGGUUGUGUUAUUGUGUGUUAUUGUGUGUGUGUGUGUGUGUGUGUGUGUGUGUGUGUGUGUGUGUGUGUGUGUGUGUGUGUGUGUGUGUGUGUGUGUGUGUGUGUGUGUGUGUGUGUGUGUGUGUGUGUGUGUGUGUGUGUGUGUGUGUGUGUGCCAAUGUGUGUGCAUUGGCCCGAGGCAGUCUGUGUGUGUGUGUGUGUGUGUGUGUGUGUGUGUGUGUGUGUGUGUGUGUGUGUGUGUGUGCGCGCAUUGGCCCGAGGCAGAGUGUGAAGCUUUUAUUGGGAUUUGCAAAUCAACUACAAGUGAUAAGUGGACAGAGAAUCUGCAGAGCUUUCACACAUCCAAGGGACGCUGUCUGUGUCCGUACUCCAGCUCCCUAAAUGAGGUCUCAACACCAGCCAGGUCACCCAUGAUACAAGUCCGUACUCCAGCUCCCUAAAUGAGGUCUCAACACCAGCCAGGUCACCCAUGAUACAAGUCCGUACUCCAGCUCCCUAAAUGAGGUCUCAACACCAGCCAGGUCACCCAUGAUACAAGUCCGUACUCCAGCUCCCUAAAUGAGGUCUCAACACCAGCCUAGGUCACCCAUGAUACAAGUCCGUACUCCAGCUCGCUAAAUGAGGUCUCAACACCAGCCAGGUCACCCAUGAUACAAGUCCGUACUCCAGCUCCCUAAAUGAGGUCUCAACACCAGCCUAGGUCACCCAUGAUACAAGUCCGUACUCCAGCUCGCUAAAUGAGGUCUCAACACCAGCCAGGUCACCCAUGAUACAAGUCCGUACUCCAGCUCCCUAAAUGAGGUCUCAACACCAGCCUAGGUCACCCAUGAUACAAGUCCGUACUCCAGCUCCCUAAAUGAGGUCUCAACACCAGCCAGGUCACCCAUGAUACAAGUCCGUACUCCAGCUCCCUAAAUGAGGUCUCAACACCAGCCUAGGUCACCCAUGAUACAAGUCCGUACUCCAGCUCCCUAAAUGAGGUCUCAACACCAGCCAGGUCACCCAUGAUACAAGUCCGUACUCCAGCUCCCUAAAUGAGGUCUCAACACCAGCCUAGGUCACCCAUGAUACAAGUCCGUACUCCAGCUCCCUAAAUGAGGUCUCAACACCAGCCUAGGUCACCCAUGAUACAAGUCCGUACUCCAGCUCCCUAAAUGGGGUCUCAACACCAGCCAGGUCACCCAUGAUACAAGUCCGUACUCCAGCUAGCUAAAUGAGGUCUCAACACCAGCCUAGGUCACCCAUGAUACAAGUCCGUACUCCAGCUCGCUAAAUGAGGUCUCAACACCAGCCAGGUCACCCAUGAUACAAGUCCGUACUCCAGCUAGCCAAAUGAGGUCUCAACACCAGCCAGGUCACCCAUGAUACAAGUCCGUACUCCAGCUAGCCAAAUGAGGUCUCAACACCAGCCAGGUCACCCAUGAUACAAGUCCGUACUCCAGCUAGCCAAAUGAGGUCUCAACACCAGCCAGGUCACCCAUGAUACAAGUCCGUACUCCAGCUAGCCAAAUGAGGUCUCAACACCAGCCAGGUCACCCAUGAUACAAGUCCGUACUCCAGCUAGCCAAAUGGGGUCUCAACACCAGCCAGGUCACCCAUGAUACAAGUCCGUACUCCAGCUAGCCAAAUGAGGUCUCAACACCAGCCAGGUCACCCAUGAUACAAGUCCGUACUCCAGCUAGCCAAAUGGGGUCUCAACACCAGCCAGGUCACCCAUGAUACAAGUCCGUAUUUGACGUCUAUCCAUGUCUGAGAACGCUGUGAGAUGAUGUGGAGACUGGCCACAAGGGGCAACAGUGAGCGCUGUUACCUUCAAGAAGGUUAGGGUUUUGGAUAACAAUGGGUUGUGGAUAACAAUGUUGUAUAGGGAUUAGCAACAUGCUAAUAACGAAGUUGUGCAGAGUUUACAUAGAUCCAGUGUUUUCAGAUCACCACUAGAGCCUAGGAGGAGAGGGUCUAGGGGUCCGUUUGGAAGGGGGCCUAAGUUUACAUAGAUCCAGUGUUUUCAGAUCACCACUAGAGCCUAGGAGGAGAGGGUCUAGGGGUCCGUUUGGAAGGGGGCCUAAGUUUACAUAGAUCCAGUGUUUUCAGAUCACCACUAGAGCCUAGGAGGCUGGGGUCUAGGGUUCCGUUUGGAAGGGGGCCUAAGUUUACAUAGAUCCAGUGUUUUCAGAUCACCACUAGAGCCUAGGAGGCUGGGGUCUAGGGUUCCGUUUGGAAGGGGCCCUAAGGGCUCAGAAACAGCAGUAGAUAACCCAGAGUUCUUAGCACCUCUGAGCAUAAUGCCGGCUGUUAUUUGCAAACCGAGUGAAAAUGUCGGCAAUCAGACGUCUACAGAGGGUGGUGUGAAAGAACACAUUGCUCUGAACGAUCGGCAGACUAACGCCAGAUCCACAUUCGGUGUGAUUUAUGCUAAAUUCUUGAGUGUUCGAGGGAGUCAUGUUGGAAACCUGGCAACUGUUGAUCCCUUCCAGCACAACUGACUGACCUUGAGGCUUCAUAAAGUUCUCACGUUC